rnacentral:lncRNA from 1 species
UUUUCUUGUUAUAUAUUUGUGUUGGUGUGAAGACUGGAAAUAGUUACGUAUGAACAUCAGUUAUGAUUGACAUAUAUAUUCUCAAUAUGUUCACUAUGGUGCUUUAAAUGCAUUUUUACAGCAGGAAAAUAUAUAAAAUAUUCAGUAUAUCAGCAGAAGUGAGAAACACCAGGCCUGGAUGCUUUUUCUGUUCAAACACUUUUUAAACCUGUUAUUUAUUUACUGUAUUAAUCGCUGGGUUUAUUAGAGUUAUAAUCAGUAAACUGGACUCUGGAGUUCUGAUCCUGUUACUGGGUGACAGAACCGGUAAACAUUACAGUACCAGGACCGAGUCCAGCACUGGAUACACACUCACUUCCUGUCUGACUGGUUUGUACUGGUCUGUUGCUACUGGAGACCAGUAACAGAUCACCGUCCCGUAAAAAUCUGCAGGAUCUCCAGAUGAUCUCCACCAGAACCUGGAUACUUUUCUCUAAUUUAAUAACUGAAUAAAUAACGACCCCACAGCAUGAAUACACCAAUCACAGCACGGCGCUGCAUUAGACCCGCCCCUCCCCGUAAACCAGUACUGCAGCACAGGGUGAACUGGGAGCGGGUUUACUGGGAGAGUCUGGGCCGCAGUCAGAGAGACCAGAGCCGACUGGGAUACAGGACUGAGCAGGCUCUGCGCGGGGAGAUCAGAGAGGGUGAGGGCGGUGGGCGGAGUCAUGUGAUCCCAGCGGGAACUUCACGAGGAAGUAAGAAUUCAUCCCAAACAUUCCUGAAGACGAAUACGGACUCUGACAGCUUCCAGAAACUUCUCUACCAGUCCAGGAAGGUGGUGCUGUUGGUGAAGCAGGGCUGCAGUUAUUUUCAGCUCCUGCAGGAUCAGGAGUUUGAGGAGGAGGAGAAGAGAGAGAGGAGGAGGAGGGAGGAGAGGAGAACCAUUCAGCCUCCAUCUGGAUCAGCCCUCUCCAACAGGUAGCACUGAUCACCAUCUCACUAUAGUGAUUAAUAGUGAUUAAUAGUGUUUUAUAUAUAU